rnacentral:lncRNA from 1 species
UUAUAAGUCAGAGGCAAGUGCAGAGUCAAAAAAAAGAAGGGAACACAUGGAAAGCAAGAGAUAAAAAUUUACGAUUUCUGAGACCUCCAUUAUACUGUUGUCUUGGUUACGUGCUCAGAGCUUUUACUUUGAUUGGAGUGCCUUGUAAAGCUCUUUUGGACUCAGUCUUUCAUUUCUUGACUACGGAUGGAUGGAGGGUCAUUCUAAUCCCUAUAUUCUUCUUCCUCAUAGGAGAGUGAAAAUAAGAUAUCAAAUGUUGGCAGCUAUCAGUCUACCUGUAGGGCAGCUGCUGAGACUUUACUGCCUGUAUAUGGACCCUGACUAUCCUCCAGCUCAUAUCAGGACACUUGAGGUAUGUCAAAUAGUGCUUACUCCGUUCCUCCCAAGGAAGAUACAGCUGCUCUGUGCACCACUAAUGAGAGAGAGGUGAGAAGGGAACAGUGUUCCAGUGUGCCCUUUACCUACUUUCAGGGAGAAGAAUAUAUUGAGUGGUAAGAAAUUCUCUAGUUUUUAAUUCAGCUCAAUCCAGUGCAGCAUUUCCCCUCAUUUUCUAUUGCUUUCCUCAUUUUUGGUAAAAUGGAAGUCUAAAUUUCCAAUGGCAUUGCUAUAAAUUCUGAGGCUUCUGGCAAAGCAUGAAGAGUCACCAUUGCCUUUAGAACCAUCUGAGGGGCUAUCAGAAAAAAUGAGUAUGUAGUUGUAAGCUUAGACACUGCAGAAGCUGUUUCAGCUGAGGUUGGCUUCGGUUUGUUCUGAUUGUGCUGUUACAGGUGGUGAGGACAAGGUGUUUGACUAAAAUUCAGUGGAUUCGUUUUCUUUGGCCUUGAGGAUACUCGAUCCUAUCCUGUCUUUUGUCUUUGCUUCCCUUGGUUGGUACAAGUCGAAGAUUACAACUUUGAUCUUGUUUGCCUGUCUGCUUUGUGAUGCAUAAUGGCUUACAUAUGUUAACAGAAUAUUUAUGAUAAAAGCACCUGGUUUCUCUAAGACUAGAAGGAAUGACUCAUUUCCCCCCUGAUUAGAGUGCAGAGUAAGGCACUCUUGUUUUAUUUUUGUUUAGCAGUAGUACUGCUAGUAUGACAAAUUUUAUAAGGUACUGUAUACCUGGCUAGAUGUCACAACUAUCACAAAUAACCAAUACUAAGAAUAAAAAAGUAAUUAAAACUAAAACCUUCCAAGAGAGCAGAAAUCCUCCAAGGAAAGGAAAGUAAAAUGUAAAAUAUUAAUCCGGCAAGCAGAUGCAUUUAAAACCUCUCGUAGGAAAGUGGAAAACAGAACAAACAUCUGGGAGUCUUCAGUUGUGAAGUAAAAUUAUAGUCAUUGGUUACAGAGACUUUUCUUGCCCUUUGCUUGUAAACAGCCAAAUAAGUCCGUGGAACAACAUAUAAAUAGGAGAAAUCAUCAAAUCCCAAACUAAAUAUCCCUUGUCAGGAUAAAAGAGUAUGUUUUGGGCAGAAAUCCAGGAAACUACUGAAACAAAUCUAAGUUUCCAAUAUUUGAACUUUGAAAUACAGGGGAGUUCCCGUCGUGGCUCAGUGGUUAACGAAUCCGACUAGGAACCAUGAGGUUGCAGGUUCGAUCCCUGGCCUCGCUUAGUGGAUUCAAGAUCCAGCAUUGCCGCGAGCUGUGGUGUAGGUCACAGACACAGCUCAGAUCCUGUGUUGCUGUGGCUCUGGCAUAGGCCAGCCGCUACAGCUCUGAUUAGACCCCUAGCCUGGGAACUUCCAUAUGCUGCGGGUGCAGCCCUGGAAAAGACAAAAAGACACACACACACAAAAGAAAUACAACUCAGAAACCAGCUGCCCUCUACCUCUCUCCUCUCCCACACCGUCCCACGUAGCCCCUCACACUACAUGAGCACCAGGCUUCCCAUGCUGUGCUCCAUCUGCCUGGAUGCUCUUUGUCCUAGUAUAAACAUGGCAUCUCCCUUAUUUCCUUCAGAUCAGCUGAAAAAGCACUUGCUGACCUUCAUCUUUUCUUUGUAACACCUAUAAUUCCCUGACUAAUUAUUAAGUACAUCUUUCAUUUUCUAGAAUGUUAGCUCUUUCAAGACAAGGACUUUAUUUUGUUCACUAUGAAAUUCCCAGAACUUGACAAUGUGGCUAACACAUGGAAAACACACAUUAAUUUUUGUGGAUUUGAGUGAAUGAAAAGCAUAAAACAAUGAGAAACACUGAAAUGAGUGGUGAAAGUGAAGAUGCACCACCCAGCUAUCCCCCUUCAGUCUUCAGCCCCUCCAGGAUCACCUCACCUUGUAGAAACCCCCUUGCCAAGGUCAUGCCCUUUUGUGGGUGGUCCACAGAUAGUGACUGAUGGAGGCCAAAGUACAAAGGCAGGGCCAUUUCAGUGCAAUGCAGGAAAACUGACAGACCAUUUCAACUCCAGUGCACACCCAAGGAGCCGGCUGAGGCUGCUGGUUCACAGCACAGCUUGGUCUCUCCCUUGAUAGAGCCUACAUUUCCCCUCUCCCUCCACAGAUAAAAAUCCCAAGGACUCCCUAAAAACAUCCCAAACACAAAGUUUACUUCCCACAAAAUCCAAAGUGCAACAAAAUGGAAAAACGGGAAAUAUAUCCUCUUUACAAUUUACACCCUUAUUUCAAAAACCUGUAUUUUCAUCCAAAAAUAAAUUCCUUCAUUUGGCAGAUAUUUGUGGGGAAGCUAGCAUGUUCCUGUCACAGUUUUGUGGUGAAAUAGCAAAUAAAAAACAAGUUUCUCCAGUUCCACGAACCCUGCAUUCUAGUGGCAAGAAUAAAAAAUAUUGUAAAUAAGUAAACUAAUAAAGGAAAAAAAUGCAAGUUAUAGAUAAGAAGUGUGAGGAAAAUAAAGUAGGUACUGGGCAGAGAGUGUGGGGACGAUGAGCUGCUUUUAACAGGGUGGUUCCGUAAGGAGUCUCCAAGGCAAGGACUUGAAGCUGAGCUUGGAUGGCAAGAGGAAUCAGGCACACCUGUCUUGUAGAGGAUGUGAGUUCUACACACAUUUAGCAAGUAUGGACUACAUACCAGGCACUAGAGUAGAUAUGAGGCUUGUAAAGACUGAUAUGGCACAGCCCCAGCCUCUGAGAGAGUAAUUUCCUAAUUCAUAGUCAUAAAUAAUGGUAAUGUUUUAAUGUAAGGAAAUCCAGAUAUUUAUUGCCUUCUUGAUUUGGCUAAUUAUUUUAAAAAUUAUCCAUUGAUAAUGCCUUUACUGAGCACUUACUACAUGCCAUCUUCUAAAUAAUUUGCACAUACAGAACCUCUGUUUGGUGUUAUUAUUGUUCUUCUUAUUAUAAUACAGUUAAAAACCAAGGCACAGAGUGGAUAGUUCCCCAAAAUCAGUUAGCAGGCAGGAAAAGCAGAAAUUCAACCCAGAAAGUCCAGUACAGAUCUAACACCCUUAACUUUUUGUGUUACAUUGAAACUGCUCCUUACUGGGUUAGUACAUAUUCCUUCCUGUAUGGAAGUU